rnacentral:rRNA from 1 species
AUCUGGGCGGCGGAAUUCAGGAUGGCCGGACGGGUCUCUCCCGUUCGGCCCUUUGAUAUUUCCGUCGCCGUGGCAGACGUCGCGACCUGUUCGUCGUCGGUCCCUGCUCGGAGGAAUCGCGAUCGAGUUCGUUGCGGCUCACGUUUCGGCGUGUUUCGCGGCGAAGACGCGACUCUCUGGCCGACGACGGACAGUAAGCAACGGUGUCCGAUGCCGUGUCUCGUACUCGGUGUCGGUGCCGGUCAGCGACGAUUUCUUCGGGCCUCUUUCCGACCCGUCUUGAAACACGGACCAAGGAGUCUAACAUGCGCGCGAGUCGCGGGGUUUCGAGCGUGCCACCGGUGCGCUCGUUACUUCCGAAACCCGUACGUUGAAGGCGUAAUGAAAGUGAACAGGGAAGAUGGCGUUCCGAGUCCACGUACCGUGAUCGAGUAUCGCGGCCGGACGUCCGCACUCCCGGGGCGUCUCAAUGGCUCGACUAGGAUGCGGACGGUCGUCUCUCGGGGCGGCCGUCGGUCCCUGUCGGACCGA